GAUGAACGCUAGCUACAGGCUUAACACAUGCAAGUCGAGGGGCAGCGGGUUGAAAGCUUGCUUUCAAUGCCGGCGACCGGCGCACGGGUGCGUAACGCGUAUCAAACCUGCCUCAUACUCGGGGAUAGCCUUGCGAAAGUAAGAUUAAUACCCGAUGUUGUUGCUUUCUCGCAUGGGAGAGUAACCAAAGAUUUAUCGGUAUGAGAUGGUGAUGCGUCCGAUUAGGUAGUAGGCGGGGUAACGGCCCACCUAGCCUUCGAUCGGUAGGGGUUCUGAGAGGAAGGUCCCCCACACUGGAACUGAGACACGGUCCAGACUCCUACGGGAGGCAGCAGUGAGGAAUAUUGGUCAAUGGGCGAGAGCCUGAACCAGCCAAGUAGCGUGCAGGAUGACGGCCCUCCGGGUUGUAAACUGCUUUUAGUUGGGAAUAAAAAAAGGGACUUGUCCCUUCUUGUAUGUACCUUCAGAAAAAGGACCGGCU
rnacentral:rRNA from 2 species